GAUGAAGAACGUAGUGAAAUGCGAUAAGUAAUGUGAAUUGCAGAAUUCAGUGAAUCAUCGAAUCUUUGAACGCAUCUUGCGCUCCUUGGUAUUCUGAGGAGCAUGCCUGUUUGAGUGUCAUUAAAUUCUCAACUACACUGACUUUGAAUUGGUGUGGCUUGGAUUUGGGGGGAAAAUUGUUGUGGGCUUUUUGUAUAGUCUGCUCCCCUGAAAUUGAUUAGCGGUACCUUUGUGGAACUGUCUACAGGUGUGAUAAUUAUCUACAUCUUAGACAUCUGCUGGAAUGCUGCUUUCUAAACCUUACUUGUAUUGACAAUCUCGACCUCAAAUCAGGUAGGACUACCCGCUGAACUUAAGCAUAUCAAUAAGCGGAGGA
rnacentral:misc_RNA from 1 species